rnacentral:rRNA from 1 species
GUCAUAUGCUUGUCUCAAAGAUUAAGCCAUGCAUGUCUCAGUACAAGCCAAAUUAAGGUGAAACCGCGAAAGGCUCAUUAAAUCAGUUAUGGUUCCUUAGAUCGUACCCACAAUUACUUGGAUAACUGUGGUAAUUCUAGAGCUAAUACAUGCAAACAGAGCUCCGACCGGAGACGGAAGGAGUGCUUUUAUUAGAUCAAAACCAAUCGGUGGCGGGUUCGCGCUCGUUAUCGUACAACUUGGUGACUCUGAAUAACUUUACGCUGAUCGCACGGUCAUCGCACCGGCGACGCAUCUUUCAAAUGUCUGCCUUAUCAACUGUCGAUGGUAGGUUCUGCGCCUACCAUGGUUGUAACGGGUAACGGGGAAUCAGGGUUCGAUUCCGGAGAGGGAGCCUGAGAAACGGCUACCACAUCCAAGGAAGGCAGCAGGCGCGCAAAUUACCCACUCCCGGCACGGGGAGGUAGUGACGAAAAAUAACGAUACGGGACUCAUCCGAGGCCCCGUAAUCGGAAUGAGUACACUCUAAACCCUUUAACGAGGAUCAAUUGGAGGGCAAGUCUGGUGCCAGCAGC